rnacentral:pre_miRNA from 1 species
CUCUGUUUGGUUCGCGGUAUGCCGUAAAUCGAAUGGAUUUAUUGAGCACACAAUAAAUCCAUACGAUUUACGGCGUACCACGAACCAAACAGAG